AGAGUUUGAUCUGGCUCAGAACGAACGCUGGCGGCGUGCCUAAUACAUGCAAGUCGUGCGAGAAAGUCCGCAAGGAUGAGUAAAGCGGCGAACGGGUGCAUAACACGUAGGUAACCUGCCCCUAGGUCCGGGACAACCUGCUGAAAGGCGGGCUAAUACUGGAUAUGACCACGACACUCACGGGUGUUGCGGUAAAAGGUGGCCUCUCCACGGAAGCUACCACCAAGGGAUGGGCCUGCGCACCAUUAGCUAGUUGGCGAGGUAAAAGCUCACCAAGGCUACGAUGGUUAGCUGGUCUGAGAGGAUGAUCAGCCACACUGGAACUGAAAUACGGUCCAGACUCCUACGGGAGGCAGCAGUAGGGAAUAUUGCGCAAUGGGGGAAACCCUGACGCAGCAACGCCGCGUGAGUGAUGAAGGCCUUCGGGUCGUAAAGCUCUGUCGAAAGGGACGAAUCCAUCGGAUGCUAAUAUCAUCCGGUGCUGACGGUACCUUAAAGGAAGCACCGGCUAACUCCGUGCCAGCAGCCGCGGUA
rnacentral:rRNA from 1 species